GGUUGAUCCUGCCAGUAGUCAUAUGCUUGUCUCAAAGAUUAAGCCAUGCAUGUCUCAGUACUUGCUUUUACAAGGCGAAACCGCGAAUGGCUCAUUAAAUCAGUUAUGGUUCACUAGAUCGUACAGUUUACAUGGAUAACUGUGGUAAUUCUAGAGCUAAUACAUGCAUUCAGCUCGCUCUCUCGGGAGCGAGCGCAGUUAUUAGAAUAAAACCAAUCCGGCCUUCGGGUCGGUAAAAUUGGUGACUCUGAAUAACCGAAGCGGAGCGCAUGGUCUCGUACCGGCGCCAGAU
rnacentral:rRNA from 1 species